UACGGGGGGAGCAAGCGUUGUUCGGAUUUACUGGGCGUAAAGGGCGCGUAGGCGGUCAGCACAAGUCAGUUGUGAAAUCUCCGGGCUUAACUCGGAAAGGUCAACUGAUACUGUGCGACUAGAGUGCGGAAGGGGCAACUGGAAUUCUUGGUGUAGCGGUGAAAUGCGCAGAUAUCAGGAGGAACACCGGUGGCGAAGGCGGGUCUCUGGGCCGUAACUGACGCUGAGGCGCGAAAGCCAGGGGAGCGAACGGG
rnacentral:rRNA from 1 species